rnacentral:rRNA from 1 species
CCUACGGGAGGCAGCAGUGGGGAAUAUUGCACAAUGGGGGAAACCCUGAUGCAGCGACGCCGCGUGAGUGAAGAAGUAUUUCGGUAUGUAAAGCUCUAUCAGCAGGGAAGAAAUAGCGACCUUUGGGUCGCCAGACGGUACCUGAUUAAGAAGCCCCGGCUAACUACGUGCCAGCAGCCGCGGUAAUACGUAGGGGGCAAGCGUUAUCCGGAUUUACUGGGUGUAAAGGGCGCGUAGACGGCAGCGCAAGUCUGAAGUGAAAUGCCGGGGCUUAACCCCGGAACGUCUUUGGAAACUGUGCAGCUAGAGUGCAGGAGAGGUAAGUGGAAUUCCAAGUGUAGCGGUGAAAUGCGUAGAUAUUAGGAGGAACACCAGUGGCGAAGGCGGCUUACUGGACUGUAACUGACGUUGAGGCUCGAAAGCGUGGGGAGCAAACAGGAUUAGAUACCCCAGUAGUC